rnacentral:lncRNA from 1 species
UGUAUAACUGAAGAAGAAAUCCUUGAUCAAAUCAACGCUGGAUAACAGCUUCUUAUACCUGCACUAGAGCACAAGACCUGUUAGACACUAAACUGCGAUAGCUGUUAUGUUCGCCAAGCAUACCGUUUCACGUUCGAAGCACUCUUUCUACAGGGACAUACAAAGAUUUUUAUUAGGAAAAAAUGAGCACGAGGCAGCAAGUACCUCAUCUCAGUCUUAGAAUGUGCAGCAUCAGUCUGAAUAGAGACAUGGGGGAUAGCAAUCGUUUGAGUCUCAUCUAUAGCAAAUAUAGCCAUGCCACAAAUACAGCCUAUUUGUCGACUCUUCGUAACCAAAAUCAAAUAAUAUGACUCCAGAAACUUUAUACAACCUACAAAAAGAGAGCACUAAGCAUUGUAGUCGUAGUAACCAUGUCGCAAAACGUGUAUUAAAACAUAGGUGCUGAAGGGAACAUGCAAUUCCAUAAACCUUCGCCACAAAAGUCAGGCCAGCAGUUGAGCGAUUUCCUUUGGCAAUUCGCUGAAGCAAGCUUUUUAUUUCUUGAGGAGAAUAAACUACGGGAUCUUCGCUGAUAUUCAGAUCGGAUGGCUCUGAACGAUCAAUCUUCAACACACGAAAGAACCUCUUGUUCCUCUCGCUCCCAAUUAAAUAGAACUUCUGCCAAGAUAAACAUAAAAGAAUACUGGUUGAAAAGCUUUACUGAAAUGUAGCCCAAAAACGUGCAACCAUAUCAUAAACGGUGUUCGGGAAGGCGCGCCUAGGCGUAAAAACAGCAGGGCGGCAAAAAACGUGGCGAUUAGUGCGAGGCGGAUUGAUUAAGGCGGAUCGUCGCGGAAUCGUCGCGGCGAGCGCCUCCUCGGAGCAAAGUCAAAAAGGCGGAAUCGACGCGUUAAAGAAAAAGGAAACAGAAGCAUGAAAUUGAAACUAACCUAAAUACCCAGAGAACCUGCCUCCCGCCCGCUGUUCUCACCCAUCAUCACCAAUCGACACCGUCUCCUCCUUCCAUCCCCUCUGUGUGCAGCGAUCGAUGUCGUCUCCUCCUUUCAUCUCCUCUGUGUGCAGCGACUGACGCCGUCUGCUCCUUCCAUCUCCUCUAUGUGCAGUGAUCGAUGCCGUAUCCUCCUUCCAUCUCCUCUGUGUGCAGCGAUCGACGCCGUCUCCUCCUUCCAUCUCCUCUAUGUGCAGCGAUCUACACCGAGCCUGCCACCGCCCGCCGUUCUCACCCGUCAUCACCAAUCAACGACGUCAUCCUCCUUCGAUCUCCUCUUUGUGCAGCUAUCGACGCUGAGCCUGCCACCGCCGGUCCUCACUCCUUCCUGCCGAACCAAGGUGACUGCUUCAUCUCCUCUUCUCUCUGUGUACGAAAUCGGCAAAUCACAGCUUCAUCUUCUAGUCCUCUGUUUUUGUAAAUCACUGCAAUCUGUUAACACAUCAGUGCUUAUUGAGAGGGAAGGAAUUUGUAUUGAGAAUGCUGAUUGAGAGUUUAGCAAUGUUCAGCAGUAAUAUUUCAACCCUUGGGGUCCAGCAGUUGCAAUAUUAAGGCCAAUGUGAGUUUGGAAAGGUAAAUUGAUGUAUGAGGUUGUUGACUUGUAGAAAUUUUUGGGGUACAACAGCUUGGUGAUGUAAAGUGUACAUUGUAAACACAGCAACCCUUAUUUAAAAUCUAGUUGCAUUACCCUGCUCUCUACAUAAUAACGUAUAUGUUUUUGUUCCCUGAUUUCUACACAAGUUGUUGUGAAGGACUGUGAAUGGCAAUUUACAUCAAUUUGUGAAAUUUGGUGAAUGGUGAUGCAGGAUUGUCAUGACAGAUUCAUCAGGAGUAAACGGUACACAAGUUGAUAUUAGUAGUACUAGUAGCCUGAAAGGAAGGUCGGGUGAUAUCGGGUGGAAACACGGAAAAAUAGAUGAUCUGAAUAACAAAGACAAACUCAAGUGCAACUUUUGUCAACAUGUUAGCAGUGGAGGUGUAAACCGUUUUAUGUUGCAACACAUAGCUGGUAUUGGAUCUUCUGUUGCUAAAUGCACAAAAUGCCGCAAAGAAGCUUGUGAUGAAUGCUUGGAAUAUUUCUGGAGUUUUCAAAAAAAGAAGAAUGAGAAGCAUAAAUGUGAACAAGUUCUGAGAGAGGAUGUUAAUGUUUCUUCUUGUGGAAUUACAACAUAUAAUUAGGCAGUGUUAGGCGUAGGAUUAGACUAAGUUAGCUGUCCUAAUUUUAUUCUAUCAUUACUAGCCUAAUUAUCAGCAGGAUAAUAUAGUAAGAUUAUAGGUAAGGUAAUCCCUGAUUUGUUGGGAUCUACCAGGAGACGAUUCUGCUCCCUACUAGAGCAGCUUCUGUAUAUAUGUACUGGUAUCAUACAGAAAUAAAACAUACCAAAAUCCCUAAGCAUUCUGGAAGUCUUUAUGGUAUCAGAGCCUAGAUUCAGACCUUGAAUCAAGCCGUAUCUCCCUCCUUUCUUCUUCCGCAUUCUCAUCCUAUGGGGAACACAAACAACGAAGCUCAAGCUCCCCGAUCCGGGAACUCCCCACCAUCCUCGCCUUCUAUAACUUCAACAGAUCCCUCCCAGGAACACUCAAACUCAGCAAUUCCGACAGAUACAGUUCUGGGUUGUAUCACCAACCACAUUCUGAAUGGAGACAACUACCUCCAGUGGUCCUCGUCAGUCCUCAAGUUCAUCUCAGGCAAGGGAAAGAGAGGUUACUUGACUGGAAAAUCUAAGAGGCCUGCAGAGGAAGAUCCAAACUUCGCCAAUUGGGACAUUGAGGACAACAUGGUCCAGUCUUGGCUCCUAAACUCCAUGACCACCUUAAUCAGGGAGAAGUUCCUCCUCCACCAAACAGCUCAAGAGAUCUGGGAAGGAGCACAACACACGUACUCACACCAGGCCAACAAUGCUGAGUCCUUUAAAGUGAAGAUGCGCCUUCAUGAUCUCAAGCAAGGAGAUCAAUCUGUCACCCAGUACUAUGAUGAGCUGUGCAAGUACUGGCUGCAGCAGGAUCUAUAUGACGUGCAAACCUGCAGAUUGGAAACCUAAGGCAGAGAGGGAGGCUCAUGCACAGGCUGCUGCAACUGAGCAGGCCACCCAAUUUGGCCAAAUCACUAGGGAGCAGCUUGAGAUCCUCCAACAAAUGAUGUCCUAGUACACUGCUAAUAAGGCUUCUUGCUAGUCAAGGUUCCUCUAAAACUCAUCACAGCCUAUUUGCUAGUCAAGGUACUAAAUCUAUUGCCCUCAAAGCUCUAAACCAGUUCAAGCAAAACUGGGUAUUGGAUUCUGGUGCCACUGAACACAUGACGGGCUCCAGACAUCUCCUACAUAACAUUCAAAAGCAUAUAGGAAAAGCAGGAGUGCGUAUUGCUAAUGGAACUAUUGCCCCUGUUGAAGGAAUUGGAACAUCAUAUCUAACUCCUACUCAAAACGUGUAUCCUGUGCUUUAUGUGCCAAAGCUAAACUGCAACUUAAUUUCUGUUAGUCAAAUCACAAAGGACUUAAACUGUCGACUAACAUGUGAUUCUUCUCACUGUACAUUACAGGAGGUGGGAUCUCAGAGGAUGAUUGGCAGGUUUGAGUUGUGUGAUGGGUUGUACCUUCUGAAUAAAAGGAUCAAGACCAGAGGGAGAGGUUUCCAAGUCAGUGAAUUUGAGUUCUACAUCGAGUCAGUUGGAAUGUCUAGUCAUGAUGUGGCAUUAUCGCCUAGGUCAUUCUAGUUUUUUCUAUCUUAAAAUUGUUUUUCCCAACCUUUUCAUCAAUAAAAGCUCCAGUCUUUUUUACUGUGAUGUCUGUCAGCUUGCAAAACAAACACAAGUAGUCUAUCAUAGCAUAUCAUACAAACCAUCAUAUCCCUUUUCCAUUGUUCAUAGCGACAUCUGGGGUCCAUGUUUUGUUAGAACAAUCAGUGACUUUCGGUGAUUCAUCACAUUUAUUGAUGAUCACACCCGCCUAACAUGGACCUAUCUCAUGAAAUCCAAAGCUGAAACCAACCAGAUUUUCCAGAGAUUUCAAAACCAAAUAAAAACUCAGUUUCAAACGCCUAUUCGUGUCCUACAUAUAGAUAAUGCUAAGGAUUACUUUAAUAAGUCCUUAGACUCCUUCCUCGUGGCCAAUGGCAUUGCUCACAGUAGCUCUUGCCCUUACACUCCUCAGCAAAACGGAAUUGCUGAGCGUAAAAACCGUCACUUGCUAGAGGUUGCAAGAGCCUCACUAUUUGCUGCAAAUGCUCCAAAAACCCUAUGGGGUGAUGCUUUUCUAACAACUACAUAUCUUAUCAAUCGCCUUCCCAAUCGAACCCUACGAUUUAAAACCCCUCGUAGUGUUCUACUAAACAUUUUUCCGCAUAGUCAUUCUCUCUCAUCAGACCUCCCUCUUAGAGUCUUUGGCUGCACUGUUUUUGUCCAUUUAGACUCAUCCCUCCGUUCCAAGCUAGACCCUAGGGCAGUAAAGUGUCUUUUCCUAGGGUACUCUCCUCAUCAUAGUGGUUACAAAUGUUAUUCCCCUUCUACUCGUAAAGUUUAUGACUCAAAAAAUGUCACGUUUUUUGAACAUCGUUCUUUCUACUCCCAAUGUCAGCCUCAGGGGGAGUAUUCUGGUUCUAAAGAUGUUGAGUCCUCCGUUGGUAGUAUUAUUACCCUAGAAUCUCAGGGUAGUAUCCUAGAACACCCUAAGGUCGUUCCCGAAUCUUUCCCAAAUCAGAACCAAAGCCACAACCCUCCUUUUCUGGUCUAUCAGCGCAGAAAGAAGACGGCAGAACUCACACAUGCUCAUCCUGACCAGGAAUCUAAUGAGGUCUCAGCCUCCCAAGAAAGUAAGUCAGAGCAAAUGGAGGCAAGGGCUGAAAGUAGUGAUGUGGGUGAAAGUGGUGAGCAAGCUGAGGAAACUCAGGAUGAUGGUACAACGGAAGCUCAGGUUGAUGGUACAACUUACCUUCCAAUCGCUCACAAGAAAGGAACUAGAGCAUGUACGAAUCAUCCUAUUGAGAGAUGGGUUUCCUAUGGUAACCUAAGCCAGAAGUACAGGGCAUUUGUGGGAAUUCUCGACAAAACACGGAUCCCUAACUCCAUUGAAGAAGCUAUGGAUAUACCUCACUAGAGGACAGCGAUGUUGGAAGAAAUCAAUGCACUUCUGAAGAAUCAGACAUGGGAUACUGUACGAUUACCAAUUGGAAAGUCCACAGUCGAUUGUAAGUGGAUAUUCACUGUGAAGUACACUUCAGAAGGGAAGGUUGAAAGAUAUAAGGCGCGACUCGUAGCUAGGGGAUUCAGUCAGUGCAAUGGAGUGGACUACGAGGAGACAUUUGCUCCUGUCACCAAACUUAAGACUGUAAGGGUCCUACUAAGUCUGCCAGUAAAUCUAGAUUGGCCCCUCUACCAGCUAGAUGUGAAGAACGCUUUUUUAAACGGAGAUUUAAGCGAAGAGGUGUAUAUGAAUGUUCCAACAGGUGUCACUGUUGAACCAGGAAUGGUGUGCAAGCUUAACAAGGCGCUAUAUGGCCUAAAGCAGUCACCACGAGUCUGGUUUGAUCGGUUCUCUCAGUCUGUGAAAUGAUAUGGGUAUUAUCGGUACCAGACUGAUCAUACCAUGUUUGUGCAGCAAAAUCAGGAAGGAAAGAACGCAAUCCUCAUUGUAUAUGUCGAUGAUAUUAUCAUCAUACGGGAUGAUCAACAAGAGAUCAGAAAUCUCAAGAAUAGACUGACACUGGAAUUUGAAUAAAGGACCUAGAGAACUUGAGGUAGCACGAUCACGCAACGGAUUGAGCUUAUCCCAACACAAAUAUGUCCUAGACCUAUUGAAGAAAAUUGGAAUGGUUGGGAGUAAGCCUGCAAGUACACCAAUGGAGCAUAAUCUGAAGUUCACCCAUGACGGGGAAGCAGCACCAGUAGAAAGGGGAGUUACCAGAAACUAGUAGGAAAGUUUAUAUAUUUGGCUCACAAUGGUCCAGACAUUUCAUUUCCAGUGAGCAUUGUGAGCCAAUAUAUGCAUAAUCCGAAUUAAGAACAUAUGGAGGCAGUAAUGAGGAUUCUAAGGUGUUUAAAGGGCACACCAGGUGUUGGAUUGCUAUUCCAGAAACACACUGGGCGCAGGAUCUCUAUCUACACAGAUGCUAGCUGGGCUGGUGACCUCACUGAUCGACGAUCAACCUCAGCAUAUUGUACCUAUAUUUGGGGAAACUUGGUGACCUGGCAGAGUAAGAAACAGGUCGUCGUCUCGAGGAGCAGUGCAGAGGCGGAAUAAAGGUCACUAGCAGAUGGCAUGUGUGAAGGGAUUUGGCUAAGGCGCAUUUUAAAGGAACUCAAGAUGGAGGAUGAGAGUCCUGUUAGGGUGCUGUGUGAUAGUCAAGCACGAUUUAAAACCCCUCGUAGUGUUCUACUAAACAUUUUUCCGCAUAGUCAUUCUCUCUCAUCAGACCUCCCUCUUAGAGUCUUUGGCUGCACUGUUUUUGUCCAUUUAGACUCAUCCCUCCGUUCCAAGCUAGACCCUAGGGCAGUAAAGUGUCUUUUCCUAGGGUACUCUCCUCAUCAUAGUGGUUACAAAUGUUAUUCCCCUUCUACUCGUAAAGUUUAUGACUCAAAAAAUGUCACGUUUUUUGAACAUCGUUCUUUCUACUCCCAAUGUCAGCCUCAGGGGGAGUAUUCUGGUUCUAAAGAUGUUGAGUCCUCCGUUGGUAGUAUUAUUACCCUAGAAUCUCAGGGUAGUAUCCUAGAACACCCUAAGGUCGUUCCCGAAUCUUUCCCAAAUCAGAACCAAAGCCACAACCCUCCUUUUCUGGUCUAUCAGCGCAGAAAGAAGACGGCAGAACUCACACAUGCUCAUCCUGACCAGGAAUCUAAUGAGGUCUCAGCCUCCCAAGAAAGUAAGUCAGAGCAAAUGGAGGCAAGGGCUGAAAGUAGUGAUGUGGGUGAAAGUGGUGAGCAAGCUGAGGAAACUCAGGAUGAUGGUACAACGGAAGCUCAGGUUGAUGGUACAACUUACCUUCCAAUCGCUCACAAGAAAGGAACUAGAGCAUGUACGAAUCAUCCUAUUGAGAGAUGGGUUUCCUAUGGUAACCUAAGCCAGAAGUACAGGGCAUUUGUGGGAAUUCUCGACAAAACACGGAUCCCUAACUCCAUUGAAGAAGCUAUGGAUAUACCUCACUAGAGGACAGCGAUGUUGGAAGAAAUCAAUGCACUUCUGAAGAAUCAGACAUGGGAUACUGUACGAUUACCAAUUGGAAAGUCCACAGUCGAUUGUAAGUGGAUAUUCACUGUGAAGUACACUUCAGAAGGGAAGGUUGAAAGAUAUAAGGCGCGACUCGUAGCUAGGGGAUUCAGUCAGUGCAAUGGAGUGGACUACGAGGAGACAUUUGCUCCUGUCACCAAACUUAAGACUGUAAGGGUCCUACUAAGUCUGCCAGUAAAUCUAGAUUGGCCCCUCUACCAGCUAGAUGUGAAGAACGCUUUUUUAAACGGAGAUUUAAGCGAAGAGGUGUAUAUGAAUGUUCCAACAGGUGUCACUGUUGAACCAGGAAUGGUGUGCAAGCUUAACAAGGCGCUAUAUGGCCUAAAGCAGUCACCACGAGUCUGGUUUGAUCGGUUCUCUCAGUCUGUGAAAUGAUAUGGGUAUUAUCGGUACCAGACUGAUCAUACCAUGUUUGUGCAGCAAAAUCAGGAAGGAAAGAACGCAAUCCUCAUUGUAUAUGUCGAUGAUAUUAUCAUCAUACGGGAUGAUCAACAAGAGAUCAGAAAUCUCAAGAAUAGACUGACACUGGAAUUUGAAUAAAGGACCUAGAGAACUUGAGGUAGCACGAUCACGCAACGGAUUGAGCUUAUCCCAACACAAAUAUGUCCUAGACCUAUUGAAGAAAAUUGGAAUGGUUGGGAGUAAGCCUGCAAGUACACCAAUGGAGCAUAAUCUGAAGUUCACCCAUGACGGGGAAGCAGCACCAGUAGAAAGGGGAGUUACCAGAAACUAGUAGGAAAGUUUAUAUAUUUGGCUCACAAUGGUCCAGACAUUUCAUUUCCAGUGAGCAUUGUGAGCCAAUAUAUGCAUAAUCCGAAUUAAGAACAUAUGGAGGCAGUAAUGAGGAUUCUAAGGUGUUUAAAGGGCACACCAGGUGUUGGAUUGCUAUUCCAGAAACACACUGGGCGCAGGAUCUCUAUCUACACAGAUGCUAGCUGGGCUGGUGACCUCACUGAUCGACGAUCAACCUCAGCAUAUUGUACCUAUAUUUGGGGAAACUUGGUGACCUGGCAGAGUAAGAAACAGGUCGUCGUCUCGAGGAGCAGUGCAGAGGCGGAAUAAAGGUCACUAGCAGAUGGCAUGUGUGAAGGGAUUUGGCUAAGGCGCAUUUUAAAGGAACUCAAGAUGGAGGAUGAGAGUCCUGUUAGGGUGCUGUGUGAUAGUCAAGCAUCCCUAAACAUCAUAAAAAAUCCAGUUCAUCAUGAUCGUACUAAACAUAUUGAACUGGAUUGCCAUUCAUUUCCGAGAAAGUGAGUAACAAGGAGUUCGAGAUGGAGUAUGUCCCUUCAGAAUUACAGAUUGCGGAUAUUCUUACCAAGGCAUUACCUAGAGAUGAUUUUUACAACUUACAAGGCAAGCUUGGCCUCCAUAACAUCUACAGCCAAACUUGAGGGGGAGUGUGGAAUUACUGCAUAUAAUUAGGCAGUGUUACGGGUAGGAUUAGACUAAGUUAGUUGUCCUAAUUUUAUUCUAUCAUUACUAACCUAAUUAUCAGCAGGAUAAUAUAGUAAGAUUAUAGGUAAGGUAAUCCCUGAUUUGUUGGGAUCUACCAGGAGACGAUUCUGCUCCCUACUGGAGCAGCUUCUGUAUAUAUAUGUACUGGUAUCAUACAGAAAUAAAACAUACCAGAAUUCCUAAGCAUUCUGGAACUCUUUACUUCUGAUGCAAAAAAAGAAGAGGAGAUAACUUUUUUUGGUAGUUCGAGACCGACCACAUUGGGUCGAAUAGAUAAGUGGACAUGUCCUAUAGAUCCUAAUGUGACUUCUCCAGUAACAACACUCCAUCAGCAGAAGAUAAACCAAUCACUUUGGAAGGAGAGGACACUUCAAGUCCAUCAAUACAUUGCAAAAUGCGUGUAUACACAUGGUUAGUUCCUAGCUAUGCCACUCAUAUUUCUUUCUUACGAACACAAGUUUAUUUUAUAAUGCAUUGUCUGAACUUUUAUUACGGCUAUUCCAUUCAAUGCCAUUGACAAUGACGAAUUCAGGCAAAUGUGUGAGGUCAUUGGUCAAUUCGGUCCUGGAUUGAAGCCUCCUUCUCCGUACGACCUUCAAGAGACUUUGUUGAAAGAAGAAUAUGCAAGAACGAAGGGCUUGUUAGCUGACCGUGAGACAGAGAACGAAAAGAACAGUUGCUCUCUUUUGAGCUAGUUGACAAUGCCAUUGAGAAAGUUGGAGAUGAGCAUGUCGUGAAAGUUGUGACAGACAAUCCUUCCAACAAUAUGGAUGCAAAGAAUCUCUUGGAGAAGAAGAGGCCACUCAUAUUUUGGAGCUCUUGUGCAACUCACACUAUCAAUUUAAUUCUCCAAGAAAUUGGCAACAUUCCAAAGUUCAAAAAAGUUAUUGAUGAGGCUAAGGCUUUCAUCAUCUUCAUAUAUGGUCAUCAUCGAACUCUGGAGUUGAUGAGGUCCAUCACUAAGAGAAGAGAGAUAAUUUAACUUGGUGUAACUUGAUUUGCUUCUCAGUUUCUUACUUUACAAAUCUUGAUGGAAAAGAAAGAUUGAUUGAGGAAGAUGGUGGUGUGUUCAAAGUGGACUUCUAUUAACGAGACAAGUACAAAGAAAGGCCAAGAUGUUUAUGCCACAAUUCUUAGGAUGGGGUUUUGAAAUGGUGUGGAGAGUUGCUUGAAAGUCUUUGAGCCGUUGGUGAAACUACUUCGGUUGGUCGAUGGAGAUGUUAAACCUUCGAUGGGUGUUGUGUAUGGGAAACUACUUCACUAAAGACAAAGAGAGCUAAAGGAGGCGUUAAUUAGUGACGAACUUCGCUGCAAAGAAGUCAUUGCUAUUGUGGACAAGAAUAUGAAAGGUAGACUUGAUACUCCCUUGCAUUUAACAGCAUAUCUUUUAAAUCCUCACUACAGCUCUGCCGACCUAUCAAUAUUCGAUAAUACCGAUAUUACCACAUCAUUGAUCACCACUGUUGAGAAAUUCUACUAUGGUUAUGAUGAGGAUAGACACGAUCAGACGGUGAACGUUGAGUUCACCACAUUUCAAAAGAAAGGACACUUGGAAAAGAAAUUAGCAAGGUUUUGUCAGAACUUUGAUUACAACCCUGGUCAGUACUUCCCUGAUUUCCUUUAUCAUUUAUGAUUUAGUCUAAAGAGCUAAUUUAGAUUUACUUGUCUUCUUAGUUUCUUGGUGGAGAAUGUAUGGAGGCGAGACACCACAAUUGCAGGGGAUGGCUAUAAGGAUAAUGUUAUUAACCUCAAGUUCUUCUGCUUGUGAGAGAAAUUGGAGCACUUUUGAGUCGGUUAGUCUUCAAAUCUCUAUCUAAUGUCAUUGCUAUUGUGGAGAAGUGGAUAUUAAAUGCAAGGUCAUAGUUAAUUGUUUUUGUAGAUUCAUACUAAGAGAAGGAAUAGACUUACAACAAAUCGUCUCAAUCAACUAGUGUACAUUCAGUUCAACUCCAAAUUGAUGUCCAAAUGAAGCCAGAUAAAGGAUAAGAAGAAUGUUGAUGUUCUCAUGAGCUCUGAUUCAGUUGAAGUUCAAGGAUUCAUAUAUAAGUGAGGAGACAUGCACACAUUGCAUGUGUUUAGGGAUGGAGACGAUGGAGGACACGACGACAUCCCAUGGAGUGUUAUUGAUUAUGCAAUUGGAACUAGUGAGAGUCGUGAACCUCAUAAGAGUGCAAGACUAGUGAGAGAGCUUCAUGAUGAAGAGUUUGAUUUCGAAGAAGAAGAAAAUAACGAGGAAAUAAAGCCGAUCGCUUUUGAGAAUGAUGAAGAAUAUUGACGACUUACCAAGCUAUGAACCUAAUAUCACCUUUAUGGCUUAUCUUAUACCUUAAUGGUUUAUCAUAUAUGUGUAUUCUUCUAUGUUAAAACUUGAACAUUAGUUAUCUUGAACAUUAUCAAUUACAAAACUAUAACUCUGUGAACUUUGUACUGUUAUGUUUGAACUUUUCUAUUUCACUUAAAUCUAUUACAUUUUUUCAAAACCCCUAAUCAACCAACGCAUAAGGCAGGACCUCACCACCUUACUACCGCCUUACGCCUUCCACACCCUUGAUCAUAAAUACCUUAAUAUUCUUUUCUCCAGAUGCACCUAAACUUGUCAAGUUCAAUCCGUAUCGAUGUAAAAAAACAAGCAGAGAUUAUAAAUCACACGCACAACACAACUAUAAAUGGAAAAAAUGGCCACCAACCCCAAACACUCUUGUUCUAGAUAAAAUGUAGUAGACGUCUGAAUGAGGCAGAAAACCCCGGAUAUAGCAGAAGGCUCUAUCACACCCCUACAAUGAUCUAAAAUUCAGUUCACAUAACCACUAAUAUCAAGACAUAAGUUCAUCUCUAUUGACGGGAACCCAGUUCGCGCAUCAGUACGUUGAUCGAUGAAAAAAGUGUCAUUGACGAGACCGAUUAUAAUCCUCUCAACCAAUCCAAGGCAUUGCAAGCACCUAGGUCCUUCCAAUUUCCUUCACUACAUUUUCCCUGAAACCAAACAUAUACUCCAAAGCAGCCUAUAAGGAGCAGCUUGACAUCCAUUUCUGAAUAUCUUAACCAGCACCACAAGCAAGCUUCAUUCUUUCAACUCCUUCUAUUUCUCAUCCUUCUGCCCAUAAUCAACAAAUCGAUCGCAAAGUAAAAAUAAAUCAAAACGAGGACAAAGCAGAUAUUAAUAUCAAACCUGUCUAGUCUCGUAGAGCUUGAACUUCUCGAUGGAGUGAUCGAGGGGAUUGAUUUCAAAGUCAUUAGAGGGAUGGAUUUUAGCGGCGCUACUUCCCGCCGGGUUGUUGGAUUUCGAACUCUCCGAUUUCGACAUGGAUUUCACCGGAAGAAAAAAUCUAAUUCGGAAGGAACACAAUAUUAAAGAAGAAAGAGGAGUGUUGAUCAGUGUAAACAGUGAUCGUCCUAAAUUGCCGGUUGUCGUUUGGCUCGAUGAUACAGCGGCGGAGAGAGAAAAUAUGAGAAUCGGAAAUCGGGAGGAAACCGUUGGAAAAGGAAAUAUUUCGGCAAUUAAAAGUCUUCGGCGAGGAAAAGAAUAGACUUUUUAAUAUAUAUGGUACUUCCACUUUAUGAUAUACUCAUUUUAAGUCCACAAAUUAUUUUGUUAUCACUAAUGCCGCCUCCCUUUUCCCUCCUGCUCUCCCAAAUUCUGAACUCAGAAAGCAUUGCACGCCAACUGUUCGAGAAAAUUCCCAAACUAGAAAUGAACACCAACCUCAACUCAUAAGAAAAUUCCAGAAUCCGCUUACCGUC